AGCUUCCCAUCACUUAAGAUUUUGAUUUGCUGUUAAUUUUAUAAUUUUAAUACAAUAAAUUAAUGGAAAUAUACAAAAAAUGAAUAAGUGCGUAUUUAUACGCUGGCUAUUAGUAGCAUGUGCGGUUUUAGGUAGAUGUACGUUAGAUGGACCAUUUCCAAAAUUAUUACUGAUCGGUGACACAAGCAGUUUUGACAAUUUCGCCUUGAAUACCGCACUUGUUAGUUCAACUUUAUUCAACUUUUUUAGGGAGGCAGGUGGAAGAUGCUUGAUAAGCUUCCCAUCAGGACGAGCUUCAUAAGGAAACUUCUCCGUCUUUAUAAGAUUAGCUCUUCAGAGGACAUUUCUUCACACAAGAUAGUCUGAGCACUCAAGAAAAUGGGCCAGCUAGAAGCACUAAAUCCGUAUUUUUUUUUUCACUAAAUCCAUAUUAUGUUCUUCUUUUCUUAUGUUUGGUUCUUGACAGCUUAGUGCUGUUCUGUCAUGGUGGCACAACAAGUAGUUAUGUCAGAAGGUUAGAGGCAACGGUUGAUAUGCCACUCGAUGGUGAUGUAUUUCUUGUUCCUCCUGAUUGCAAUGCACCUCAACAGGUGCACAUUACACAAGGAGAGCUUGAAGGAAAGGCAGUGAUAGUGUCUUGGACUUGAACUUGAGUUGUCAAGUUUUGUUACGCAGAGGAUAUCUUGGGCAGAGGUUUGACUCUAACAUAACCUUAACACAUUAUGAUUUAUGAGAAUAACCCACUGAAAGGUUAAAAAGUUUUGUUUGUUGGAGAUUUCUCAUACGCGGACACAUACCCGAACCAUGACAAUAAUAGAUGGGACAGUUGGGAAGAUUUAUUGAAAGAAGCAUAACUUGAUAUGCCAUGCUUCUUUCAAUAAAUCUUCCCCAAUUGUCCCAUCUAUUAUUGCAUGGUUCGAGUAUGUGUCAGCGUAUGAGAAAUCUCCAACAAAAAAAAUUGUUUGACUUUUCAAUGGGUUAUUCUCAUAAAUCAUAGUGUGUUAAGGUUAUGUUAGAGUCAAAACUCUGCCCAAGAUCCCCUGCAUAACAAAACUUCACAACUCAACUUCACAACUCAUAAUGUGAAAGAAGCAUAGCAUAUCAACCCUGGGUUUGGACCGUAGGAAACCAUGAACUUGAUUUUGCCCCCCAGAUUGGAGAAAACAAACCAUUUAAGCCAUUCAAGAAUAGAUACUGCACUCCUCACCGAUCAUCAGGCAGCACAGAACCAUUCUGGUAUUCAAUAAAGAGAGGUAAAUAUACGCCGCAAUACACGUCGCUCGAAGAGGAGUUCCCAAAGGUUAACAGAACAGAAAAUGCCAUGGUUGAUUUUUCUGAUGCAUUCACCGUGGUACAACAGCUACGAUUACCAUUACAUGGAAGGCGAAACAAUGAGAGUGAUGUAUGAGCCGUGGUUGGUCGAGAACGAAGUAUAUGUUGUUUUUGAGGGUCACGUCCAUGGCUAUGAAACAUCAGAACAUAUAUCUAGCAUUGCGUACAAUGUGGUUAAUGGAAUUUGUACUCCAGUAAAAGAUCAUUUUGCUCCCAUCUACAUCACCAUUGGUGAUGGAGGCAAUCUUGAAGGAUUGUCUACCAACCUAAGUACUCUGCCUUCAGAGAAGCGAGCUUCGGACAUGCUAUGUUCACGAUAAAGAACAGGACGCACGCUUACUAUGGUUGGCACAGGAACCAGGAUGGCUGCGCUGUGGAUGGUGACACCAUGUGGUUCUUUAAAAGAUUCUAGCAUCCCAUUGAUGACUCUCCUGAUGAUGAUUCUUGAGAACAAAUAAGAUACUAAGGUUCUCAAGAAUCAACAUCAGGAGAGUCAUCAAUGGGAUGCCAGAAUCUAUUAAAGAACCACAUGAUGUAACCAUCCACAGCGCAGCCAUCCUGGUUAUAAUUUUUGCUUGCUUUUAAUUUUUUUUUGUUCAAAAAUAAAAUUAUAGUGUCUUUAAAUCAAAAUUGAACUUAUUUCAAAAAACAAUAAUCUAAAGCUAAGUAACACCUAGAAAUAUCAUAUUUGUUAUAUUCAGUUAUAUAUGUGUUUGUUUUAUAAAUAAUUCUUCUUUAAAAUAAAUUUCUUGGAAUUAAUAUUAAAUACAUGAAACUAAACAUGCAUAAGAAAUAGUCAAUAUAGUGAGUAUAUAGACUUACAAAACUAUGUUAGUUUUUUUGUCAAGCAAAAAAAAUGGUAAGAAUAUGCUAUGUUAAGUAACUUGCCUUAAAAAACAGAUUUGUUAAUUAGUCAAACUAUAACAAACAAAUUUGUAAAUAUCUAAAUUGCAUCAUCGUAGUUAUUGUUAGCCAUGAGAUUUGAUUUCAAAGCUACAAAAAAAUAUAGAAAUUCUUAAAACUUAACAUAAGUAAGAGAAUCAAAGAAUAACUAAAGAUAAAAAUACCAGUUGUUUACGGUUUUGCUUGUGUUUAUGUUUGUUGCAGAGAAGACUCUUUCAUUUUGUUUCUUGUUUUUAUCUUCUUGUUUCCUUUUCAUUUCUGGUUUUCAAAAGAAAUGUUAGUUUCAAAAAAUAAGACAUAAAAGAAAACAUUUGUGUAUACCCAUUUAGUUUGUAGAUAAUGGGGUUGAAAUGCUUAUAGUUACCUUCGUUGUUUUUGAUAGAGGUUUAACUUUUCAACUAGAUUUUGACCCGCCCUUGUUUUACAUUUUUUCUAGAAAUUUAAUUUUUCUAUUUAUUUGUUUUUAGUUAUAUUUUUGUGUGUUUUAGUUAUAUUUGGGUUUUUCUUUGUACUAAUAUUUUUUUCUUAAAUAAUUAAUAAAUGAUUUUAACAAUUGUAUUAAAAUAAUUGGACCAUAGAAGAUGUAAUUAUUAAUAGCAUGUUAAUACUGUUAAAGUCAAUUAACUAUAGUAGAAAAUAAUUAAUGUGGUUCGGUUGUAUAAAAAGUCAUGGUUACAUAUAUUGUCAAGAAAUAAUUAUGAAUAAAUAUGACUGUUGAGUACAUAUCGGAGAGAAGUGGAUCAGAGCAGUUUUUUUCUUUUUGUUAACUGGAUCACGGCAGUUUUGAGAUUAAAAUGAAAG